GUCCCAGUUCGGAUUGUAGUCUGCAACCCGACUACAUGAAGCUGGAAUCGCUAGUAAUCGCGGAUCAGAAUGCCGCGGUGAAUACGUUCCCGGGUCUUGUACACACCGCCCGUCACACCAUGGGAGUUGGAAAUGCCCGAAGUCAGUGGCCCAACCGAAAGGAGGGAGCUGCCGAAGGCAGGUCUGAUGACUGGGGUGAAGUCGUAACAAGGUACC
rnacentral:rRNA from 1 species